rnacentral:rRNA from 1 species
CCCUUAGAUGUUCUGGGCUGCACGCGCGCUACACUGAAGCUAUCAACACGUUUUCCCUCCCUGUGAAGGGCGGGUAACCUUUUGAAUCAGCUUCGUGGUAGGGAUCGGGGCUUGCAAUUGUUCCCCGUGAACCAGGAAUUCCUAGUAGACGCGAGUCAUAAGCUCGCAUCGAUUAAGUCCCUGCCCUUUGUACACACCGCCCGUCGCUACUACCGAUUGAACGUUUUAGUGAGGCAUUUGGACCGACGCAUCUCAGUUUAACCGCUGGUUUGUGUUGGAAAGACUUCCAAACUUGAGCGUUUAGAGGAAGUAAAAGUCGUAACA